rnacentral:snRNA from 1 species
ACCGCUUCAUUGAUUCCAGAAGC